rnacentral:rRNA from 1 species
GCACUCCCGGGGCGUCUCUAUCUCAUUGCGAGAGGAGGCGCACCCAGAGCGUACACGCUGAUACCCGAAAGAUGGUGAACUAUGCCUGGCCAGGACGAAGCCAGGGGAAACCCUGGUGGAGGUCCGCAGCGAUUCUGACGUGCAAAUCGAUCGUCGGAGCUGGGUUUAGGGGCGAAAGACCAAUCGAACCAUCUAGUAGCUGGUUCCCUCUGAAGUUUCCCUCAGGAUAGCUUGCGCUCGGGCGAGACGAGUCUCAUCCGGUAGAGCGAAUGAUUAGAGGCCUUGGGGUCGAAACGACCUCAACCUAUUCUCAAACUCCAAAUAGAUGAGAACCCCGGCUUUCUUGAAAUUUCAAAUGAAGCCGGGGGCUCGGAUCAGAGUGCCAAGUGGGCCAAUUUUGGUAAGCAGAACUGGCGCUGUGGGAUGAACCAAACGCGGAGUUAAGGCGCCACAAUCGACGCUCAUGUGAGACCAUGAAAGGCGUUGGUUGCUUAAGACAGCAG